GACAUAGGUGGCGAGCGUUAUUCGGAAUCACUAGGCGUAAAGCGAGUGUAGGCGGAUGCCUAAGUCCGUCGUGAAAUCUCCCGGCUUAACUGGGAGGGGUCGAUGGAUACUGGGCGUCUUGAGUGGGGUAGGGGAUAUCGGAAUUCCCGGUGUAGCGGUGAAAUGCGUAGAUAUCGGGAGGAACGCCGAUGGCGAAAGCGGAUGUCUGGCCCCCAACUGACGCUAAGACUCGAAAGCUAGGGGAGCAAACAGG
rnacentral:rRNA from 1 species